UACAGAGGGUGCAAACGUUGCUCGGAAUGAUUGGGCGUAAAGCGCGUGUAGGCGGUUUGGUAUGCCGGUUGUGAAAGCCCGUGGCUCAACCACGGAAGUGCAGUCGGAACUGCCAGACUAGAGUGCCAAAGAGGAUGGCGGAAUGCCCAGUGUAGAGGUGAAAUUCGUAGAUAUUGGGUAGAACACCGGUGGCGAAGGCGGCCAUCUGGGAGGUGACUGACGCUGAGACGCGAAAGCGUGGGGAGCAAACAGGAUUAGAUACCCCAGUAGU
rnacentral:rRNA from 1 species